rnacentral:rRNA from 1 species
UACGGAGGGUGCAAGCGUUGUUCGGAAUCACUGGGCGUAAAGCGCGUGUAGGUGGCUGGUCAAGUCAGGGGUGAAAGCCCGCCGCCUAACCGUGGAAGUGCGUCUGAAACUGCCAAGCUUGAGUAUGAGAGAGGAGGGCGGAAUUCCCAGUGUAGAGGUGAAAUUCGUAGAUAUUGGGUGGAACACCGGUGGCGAAAGCUGUUCUCUAGAUUGUUACUGACACUAAGGCGCGAAAGCGUGGGGAUCAAACAGG